UACGGGGGGGGCAAGCGUUGUUCGGAAUUACUGGGCGUAAAGGGCUCGUAGGCGGCCAACUAAGUCGGACGUGAAAUCCCCAGGCUCAACCUGGGAACUGCGUCCGAUACUGGAUGGCUUGAAUCCGGGAGAGGGAUGCAGAAUUCCAGGUAUAGCGGUGAAAUGCGUAGAUAUCUGGAGGAAUACCGGUGGCGAAGGCGGCAUCCUGGACCGGCAUUGACGCUGAGGAGCGAAAGCCAGGGGAGCAAACGGG
rnacentral:rRNA from 1 species